GUCACGGCGGGCGCGCGCCUGCGCCAAGGCGGCGGAUUCGAACGGCGGAGGGCGGUUAGGCGGGAGCCGUUAGGCGCGUUCUCGGCGGCACCGGCCGCAGCGGGAGGAGGAAGGAGGGAGGAUGAAACGCACGGCGCCCCGCGGCACGUUGCGGAAGAUCAUAAAGAAGCACAAGCCGCAUUUGCGCCUGGCGGCUAACGCCGACCUGCUGGUGCAUUUGAACUUCUUGCUGUUUCUCCAUCGGCUAGCAGAAGAAGCCAGGAUAAAUGCUUUUGAGAACAAAAGUAAAAUAAUUAAACCUGAGCACACUAUAGCUGCAGCAAAGACAAAUGAUCUGAAAUUAGUUGGAAUCCACUGUCUCAGAAGAUACCUGUGCAGAAGAAGGCUUCAGUCUCGCAGAGCGUGACACUUCCCCUGGUCUCAGCCGUUAAGGCUCUGUGGCGCGUGCUCUCGUGCUAGCCAUGGGUGUAUGAGGGAAGAGGAUGGGAUCAACUGGACACUCCUUUCUUCUAAGGGAAGCUCUUCUAAUGGCUCUUUUUUGUGAAGUUCCUGGCGAAGCAGAAGGCCAUAUAUGUCUAAAGAGAAGUCUUAGAGAUUCGCUGAUAUUCCAAGAAAGAAUUAUUUUGUCUCUACUAGCUGUAGUUUAAAACAUUUGUUCUGAUGUGUAAAGACCUUGACUGCACGUACUGGAUUUUACAUAAAUAACUUGUAAGAAAUUUAGAUUCCGCCCCCCCCCCCCAGUACAGAAACUCUAGAUGUUUUCUGAUGUAUAAAACUCCAGAUGGAACUUAGAGAACCUGGGGCUAUUUUUUAUUCUCUGAAGAACCCAUCAAUUUAAAAUAUCAGGCUACUCUCUGAUUGAGAACGUAGAGAAUUUUUGUUAGAUUAUUUUAAGUUUCUGUUCAGUUUUUUUUGCUUACAGGGGCUAAUAGAUAUUUUGAGGUUUUUUUUUUUGCUAAAUAUUUGAUAUGCUAUUCCUUUAUUCAAGCAUGAAAAUCCAAUUAUGACUCAUCUCCCAGAGAAGUCUUCCAGUUUCCAUAACAUUCCUGAUAUUCUUAAUUUUGAAGACUAAGCGGAGUUUCUUCCCAAUAUUUUUCUGUUCCUCUUUUUCCAGUCCCUAACUUCAAUGCUAAAGGGAAGAGAGGGAGAGGAGAGGAUGGUUGCAGAACACUUACACUGGAACCCAAGCAGUAAUACCAGCAGGUAGCAGGCUUUAAAUGGUGUAAAGAGUAGGUGAAGCAAAUGCUCCAUGUCCCUUAUCAGACUUAGAUGGUCCUCUGGGGACACAGUUCACAAGAUGAACCCUUGUUAGCAAUGCUGUUGCUUUUGCUUAAAAAUUGUGGAAACGCUUCCCCACUCCCCCACCCCCCAAAAAAGUGCUUUUUUCUCCUUAUUAGGAAAAAAAGAAGAAAGCAUUGGUUCCAAUGUAAACAGGAACAAAAGGAAUUUAAUUUCUGCUUUAGUGUGUUAAUUAUUGAUUGAAAAACACUUAGUUUCAAUUGCUUUAUAUUUUUUGUCUGAGGAAUACCUAUUCUUUUGAGAAAACUUCUAAAAAUGAGAAGCUGGAUGUUUAAAGCUGUACCACAACUGGGACUUUAUACAUUGUACUAAUAUCAGUUUGUUAAAAAAAUAACCUGAAGUUAUUGCACAAACAAGCAAAAUAUUCCUAAUAGUAAAGAAACACUUUUGAAAUAGCAACUUUUUUCAAGAUUUCCCUUGCAAAUUCCAUUUAAAAUCAUAAUGUUUGUUAAAAAGCUUGUGUAAUAAUAUUUUUAGAGCUUAGUAAGUUUAACUCCUGUCUGCAUCCCUCUUGAAAAGAAAUGUGGACCAUGUUUGAGACAUAAUUUGUGUAACAAAAUAUCUUUAUUUCUGAGUUAAUUUAAUUUUUACAUGCCUCUGUUACAGAGGAAGUAUUCUUUUAAUACAAGUCAUGUGUUUAGAGCAGUAA